rnacentral:tRNA from 1 species
CAUUAGCUCAGUUGGUUAGAGCAACCGGCUCAUAACCGGUUGGUCCGGGGUUCGAGUCCGUUAUUGUCC